rnacentral:rRNA from 1 species
UACAGAGGGGGCAAGCGUUGUUCGGAAUUACUGGGCGUAAAGGGCGCGUAGGCGGCCUUCUAAGUCGAACGUGAAAUCCCCGGGCUCAACCCGGGAACUGCGUCCGAUACUGGAAGGCUUGAAUCCGGGAGAGGGAUGCGGAAUUCCAGGUGUAGCGGUGAAAUGCGUAGAUAUCUGGAGGAACACCGGUGGCGAAGGCGGCUCUCUGGUACGUGACUGACGCUGAGACGCGAAAGCGUGGGGAGCAAACAGG